CCAUGGCAACUGCCACAUUACACGGUGCCGUGCUGACGAUGCCUCUGAGAUACAGAGCAGCUUCUCAAAGAGAUACACUUUUCAACAUGUCAUGUAGGGCUCUGUACUUGUUAGGGAAAAUCGCAUUUCCAGCAAAAUGACAUGCCAGCGCGCGGCUCACGCCUUUCUUAAACAAAGAAUUUCAUUCACUGCCUCUCUCAUGCCUGUCUGGCCUGCCACUGGCUACCCACCUGCCGGAGCCCCGAUUCCCUUUACGUAACACGCAGAGCUGGGGACAGGAGGUGGGCUGGGUGCGGGGCAAGGCUCCAGAAGCAGGGGAGAGGUGCUCAGGGCUGGCGUCCCCUCCAGCAGAGGGGCUCCGGGGACAGGUCUGGGAUGGGCACUGUGGCCCUGACUCUGGGCUCAGCCUGCCGGAGACGAGAUGUGCCUCUGAGGCCCCUCGUGUGUUUGCCAGUCCCUGACCUGAUCUUCAGGGUGGUGUCUGGAAGACGGGCCAAGGACACUCCAGCCUCACCCUUGAGUGAGAUGCAAAGGCCACAGUGAGGGGCUGGUACGGCUGUGCCUGCACCGAAGUGCUCUGCAUGACUACGCCGCUGUCCUCACCCAGGAAGGUACCAGUAACUGGACAUCUGAAAGCAAGGAAGACAUCUAGGUUCUCCUCUUUAACCAGGCAUCUGGAGGAGGAGGCUGAUCUAGGUUUGGUUCCACAAUCCCAUCUGUGUCUGUGACAUUCUCAACCUUCUUCUCAUGGUCCCAAGAUGGCUACAGCAGCUCCAGACAUCACAUCUUCACAGCCUUCUCAGGUAGAGGCUGAGGAUGAGCUACAAAAGGAAAACCCACCACAACACAGAAAUCAAGCCCUGGUUGUCGCCUCUGUCCAUUUCCACCAUGACGUCACCAGACACAGAUCCUGGAAGAGACACUCAGGGGGGCCACCAUUGUGUAGUGUUUCCACCAGGCAGACGAGGUUGACGCUGACGGCCUCAGGACCCGGGGAACAAUAGCAGGCGGUGAGAUCAUUGGGAAGCGAUGAACUCUUGAGAAUUUAUUACUUUUGUUUUUUUACAAUGAUUUAUUUAAUUGUGACUUUAUGUAAUUUAAUUUUUUUAAAAUAAUAGCUGUAUUUAACACCCUGCUUGUAAAAUUCCUGAAAAUUUAACAACUGGCUCUCGUGAGCAGCUAGGAGCCGGCCCCAGCAUGCCACCCAGGGUUACUGUGGUAAGUAAAUAAUUCAAUGCUUUCACAAUGCUCAGGAAACCCUGGCAUAUUGAGUAAGCCCUCAAUAAACGUUAGCUAAUCUUCUUA